GAUGAACGCUGGCGGCGUGCCUAAUACAUGCAAGUCGAGCGAACAGACGAGGCGCUUGCUCCUAAGUCGUUAGCGGCGGAGGGGUGAGUAACACGUGGAUAACCUACCUAUAAGACUGGGAUAACUUCGGGACACCGGAGCUAAUGCCGGAUAAUAUAUUGAACCUCGUGGUUCAUUAGUGAAAGACGGUUUUGCUGUCACUAAUAGAUGGCUCCGGGCCGCAUUAGUUAGUUGGUAAGGUAACGGCUUACCAAGGCACGGAUGCGUAGCCGACCUGAGAGGGUGGUCGGCCACCCUGGAACGGAGAAACGGCCAAGACACCUACGGGAGGAAGCAGUAGGGAAUCUUCCGCAAGGGGCGAAAGCUGGACGGAGCAACCCGGGGGGAGGUAUGAAGGCCUUCGGUUCUGAAAACUCGGUUAUAGGGAAAGAACAAAUGUGUAAGUAACUGGGCACAUCUUGACGGUACCUAAUCAGAAAGCCACGGCUAACUACGUG
rnacentral:rRNA from 1 species